ACGGUCGUAGCGCAGAGGUCGUCGCGCCCCAAAGCGAUGCGGAGGACGCCGGUUCGAAUCCGGUCGGCCGUGUCA
rnacentral:tRNA from 1 species